rnacentral:sRNA from 1 species
GCUGGGUGCGGUGGUUCACGCCUGUAAUCCUAGCACUUUGGGAGGCAGAGGUGGGUGGAUUGCUUGAGUCCAGGGGUUCGAGACCAGCCUGGGCAACAUAGCAAGACCCCAUCUCUA